CCCUUAGAUGUUCGGGGCCGCACGCGCGCUACACUGAAGGAAUCAGCGUGGCUUUCUCCCUGACCCGAAAGGGUUGGGAAACCCGUUGAAUCUCCUUCGUGAUAGGGAUUGGGGCUUGAAAUUGUUCCCCAUGAACGAGGAAUUCCCAGUAAGCGCGAGUCAUAAGCUCGCGUUGAUUACGUCCCUGCCCUUUGUACACACCGCCCGUCGCUACUACCGAUUGAACGGUUUAGUGAGGGCCUCGGAUUGGUCUCGGCCCGCUCUUUACCGGGCGGCGCCGUUGGUCGAGAAGACGCUCGAACUUGAUCGUUUAGAGGAAGUAAAAGUCGUAACA
rnacentral:rRNA from 1 species